UUAAAGUUAGAGUUUAGAGAACACUGUUUGGUUAGCUGCCUCAAAGGCAGAUGACUCUCAAUAUCACAAGAUCAGGUGAAAUUUCAGACCAAGGGAAAAUCACUGGGAUUAUCUGUGAAGAGGCAGAAAAGCAUAGACCUCGUCUACCUUAUAGACAUUUUGAAAAGAGACGCCUACAGGCUAUCUACUGUUCAAAAGUGAAUUGUUAUACACAGUGCAGCAGCUGACCGUUGACCUGUGAGCUUCAGCCUCUUUGCUGGUGUGAAGUGUUUAAUGUGACGCAGUCUGCAGACACAGACGACUGCUGACGGAGAAGAAGCAGAGGAUUUUCUCUGUUUCUACACAGACCUGGUCCAGACAGCAGAGAGCUGCAGAGUGAAGACGUUCAUUGGAAGAAGCUGAGACAGCAGAGAGAGAGGAGAGAUGAAGAG